rnacentral:rRNA from 1 species
GACGAACGCUGGCGGCGUGCUUAACACAUGCAAGUCGAGCGGUAAGGCCCUUUCGGGGGUACACGGAGCGGCGAACGGGUGAGUAACACGUGGGUGACCUGCCCUUAGCUCUGGGAUAAGCCUGGGAAACUGGGUCUAAAUACCGGAUAUGACUCCAUGACGCAUGUUGUGGGGUGGAAAGCCUUGUGCGGCUAGGGAUGGGCCUGCGGCCUAUCAGCUUGUUGGUGGGGUGAUGGGCCUACCAAGGCGACGACGGGUAGCCGGCCUGAGAGGCGACCGGCCACACUGGGACUGAGACACGGCCCAGACUCCUACGGGAGGCAGCAGUGGGGAAUCGUUGCGCAAUGGGCGAAAGCCUGACGCAGCGACG